rnacentral:rRNA from 1 species
UACGGAGGGGGCUAGCGUUGUUCGGAAUGACUGGGCGUAAAGCGCGCGUAGGCGGGCUGGCAAGUCAGGGGUGAAAUCCCGGGGCUCAACCUCGGAAUUGCCUUUGAAACUCCCAGCCUUGAGUUCGAGAGAGGUGAGUGGAAUUCCGAGUGUAGAGGUGAAAUUCGUAGAUAUUCGGAGGAACACCAGUGGCGAAGGCGGCUCACUGGCUCGACACUGACGCUGAGGUGCGAAAGCGUGGGGAGCAAACAGG